UACGGGGGGGGCAAGCGUUGUUCGGAAUUACUGGGCGUAAAGGGCUCGUAGGCGGCCAACUAAGUCGGAUGUGAAAUCCCCAGGCUUAACCUGGGAACUGCAUCCGAUACUGGAUGGCUUGAAUUCGGGAGAGGGAUGCAGAAUUCCAGGUGUAGCGGUGAAAUGCGUAGAUAUCUGGAGGAAUACCGGUGGCGAAGGCGGCGACCUGGUCCAUUACUGACGCUGAGGCGCGACAGCGUGGGGAGCGAACAGG
rnacentral:rRNA from 1 species